rnacentral:rRNA from 1 species
CCAAUAGCGUAUAUUAAAGUUGUUGCAGUUAAAAAGCUCGUAGUUGAAUUUCGGGAUCAAUGCGUCGGUCGUGCUUCGGCACGCACUAACGAUAUUGAUUUCUCCCUUCUGACGAACCGUGAUGUCAUUUAUUUGGUGUUACGGGGAUUCAGGACUGUUACUUUGAAAAAAUUAGAGUGUUUAAAGCAGGCAAUCGCUCGAAUACAUUAGCAUGGAAUAAUGAAAUAGGACGUUCGAACCUAUUUUGUUGGUUUCUAGGAUCGACGUAAUGAUUAAUAGGGAUAGUUGGGGGCAUUAGUAUUCAAUUGUCAGAGGUGAAAUUCUUGGAUUUAUUGAAGACUAACUACUGCGAAAGCAUUUGCCAAGGAUGUUUUCAUUAAUCAAGAACGAAAGUUAGGGGAUCGAAGACGAUCAGAUACCGUCGUAGUCUUAACCAUAAACUAUGCCGACUAGGGAUCGGAUGAUGUUAAUUUUUUAAUGACUCAUUCGGCGCCUUACG